GUGGUUGUAGCUCAGCUGGUUAGAGCGCUGGUUUGUGGUACCAGAGGUCGCCGGUUCGAAACCGGUCUUCCACC
rnacentral:tRNA from 3 species